CUACCCGCUGAACUUAAGCAUAUCAAUAAGGCGAGAGAGAAA
rnacentral:rRNA from 1 species